rnacentral:rRNA from 1 species
GAAAAGGGUUGUGGAAAGUAAGCUCUUGAUAGCGGCGUGGACUAAUUGGACGGCCGCGGUAUUUUGACCGUGCGAAGGUAGCGCAAUCACUUGUCUUUUAAUGAGACCUGUAUGAUGGUGGACGAGGGCUUAACUGUCUCUCCUUCGAGUCAUGAAAUUGAUCUGCCCGUGCAGAAGCGGACAUAAAAUACAGACGAGAGACCCUUUGGAGCUUAGAUACAAGAUCACUAUGUCAAGAACCAAAAAGUUAACUAAUAGCACUGAUCCCUAUCUUCGGUUGGGGCGACGCGGGGGAAACAAAGCUCCCGCGAAUGGGGCACCCCGAGCACAAGAAGUAUUUUCAGCCAGAAAUCUGACAUAAGUCCGGCACGGCGACAGGCCAGUUACCCUAGGGAACGCGCAUCUCUCCGAGUCUAUCCACAGGGUUACACCCGUUUGUACGGACCCAAGGGCACCUAUAUGUUCGUUGUUCAGAUAGGCCAGACUGUCGACGUUUGGGGGACGGGUGACGUUGCCCCA